UUUGGCGCCUUAGCUUCGUCGUUUUCACGCACAGUGAGAUACAGGGAAAAAUGAGUUCGAGUUCAUCGAGCAACAUCUUCAGGAACCCUCUUGGAUAACAAAAUUCCUUAUGAGAAAGCCUAAUUGGGAGAAUGUUUAUACCCAAUCGGGCUGCAAUGGACCUUGAUUACAUGCAUUACAUGGUCACAGGAAGGAGAAAAGGAAUCGAGAACCCAUGGGCAGCAAGCCCUACAUAUCAGAAGCUACUGACUGAGACCUUCAACAUGAACCGAGCACGGAUCUUCACAUUCAAGAACAAACCGCCAACCCCAGUUGAAGCCAUUCCAAGGAGAUUGCUCUCACCCCCUCUUCAUAAGGCCAAAUCUACCAAGCCCUGUCGAAGAAUUCCUAAGGAUCCAGAGAGAACAUUGGACGCUUCCGGUAUUGUAGAUAAUUUCUACUUGAAUUUACUAGACUGGAGCAGCAGCAACAUUCUUGCAAUUGCUCUUGGAAACUCAGUGUACCUAUGGAAUCCUUCUCACCGUUCCAUCGUAGAACUUGUCACAAUUGAUGACGAAGAUGGUCCCAUUACAAGCAUCAGCUGGGUUCUUGAUGGGCAGCGUAUUGCCGUUGGCUUGAACAAUUCCUGGGUCCAGUUAUGGGAUUCUGUUAGAUUGAAAGGAACAUUGAGAGGUGGGCACCAUGGAAGAGUAGGUUCACUGGCCUGGAACAAACACAUUCUUACUACAGGAGGAAUGGAUGGUAGAAUUAUCAACAAUGCUGUAAGAGUGAGAUCCCACAUUGUUGGAACCUACAAGGGUCAUGGGCCCGAGGACGUCUGUGGAUUAAAAUGGUCACCCUCAGACCAGCAUUUAGCCAGUGGAGGAAACGAUCAUGUUCUCUUCAUAUGGGACAGGUCAACAGCCUCCUCCAGUUCACCAAGAGAGUGGCUUCAAAGGCUUGAAGACCACACUGCAGCAGUCCAGUCCAUUUCAAGAGAAUUUUUUGGCCUCUGGUGGUGAACUUGACCUGUGCAUUAAGUUCUGGAACACACAAACAGGCUUGUGCUUGAGCUCGGUUGACACUGGCUCGCAGGUGUGUGGUUUUUUGUGGAACAAUUAUGAGCGUGAAUUGCUUAGUUGUCAUGGUUUUAGCAAGAAUGAGCUUAUCCUUUGGAAGUACCGUCAAUGGUGAGGACGACAGAGCUAACUGGCCAUACCUCCAGAGUUCUCUUCAUGACUCAGACCCCAGAUGGAUGCACUGUGGCCACUGCAGCCGCGGAUGAGACGGUUCAAGCUUGGAAUGUGUUUGGGAUUCCGGGAGUUUCAGAACCCGUACGAAAAGAAAAUCUGCUGCCAUCUGCUCAUUCAUACUCCAUUCGUUGAAGAUCAUGUAAAUGCUGGAGAGAAGUUUGUCUGUUUUGUCUCGAAUGCCCAACCAAACAGAUAAGUGUAUAUGGUGUAAAUUAUUGUUUACAAGAAAAAUAAAAAUAAAAAUAAAUAAAUAAAUAACAGGUAAGUGUAUAUGGUUACAUGAAUAGAGAAAAAGAAAAACGCAGUUUUGAUUAGUGAUUGGCAUGCAGUCGCUCGGUUCAGUAUAUCUGAAUAGACAAUAUAACUGUAUUAUCGUGUCAUAUUGAAGCGACAAUUCUG